GUAUGAGCCAACCUAAGCAGAGCCGUCUUACCAGCUUUCGGACUGUACAGGUAACCUGCCUGAAGCAACUCAAAUGCUUUAUAGUAACCACUAGUUUACUUCAGAUAUCCGGGACUGUUCGUCUCUCACGGAGGCUUCACAACCAAGUUCACAGGCCGCUGCACUGUACAGACCAGCAUCUACACCUUUCGAGAGAGGGCAGUAUAUCGAAGUACAAGUGCCUGAUGCUUUGCACAGGUCUGUAGCUGCCCACGCCGAAUAUCCUAGCUUAUACACGGACUUGCAAACUCGUGAAUCAGCAUACAGGCCAGUAUCCACAUCUCUUGCUGAAGCUACAAGGUCACACACGAAUACGCAUGUGCUCGGU